rnacentral:rRNA from 1 species
ACGGGAGGCAGCAGUGAGGAAUAUUGGUCAAUGGGCGAGAGCCUGAACCAGCCAAGUAGCGUGAAGGAUGACUGCCCUAUGGGUUGUAAACUUCUUUUGUUCGGGAAUAAAGGAGCCUACGCGUAGGCUUUUGCAUGUACCGUUCGAAUAAGCAUCGGCUAAUUCCGUGCCAGCAGCCGCGGUAAUACGGAAGAUGCGAGCGUUAUCCGGAUUUAUUGGGUUUAAAGGGAGCGUAGGCGGCCUUUUAAGUCAGCGGUCAAAUGUCAGCGCCCAACGCUGGCCUGCCGUUGAUACUGAUGGGCUUGAAUACACACAAGGAAGGUGGAAUUCGUCGUGUAGCGGUGAAAUGCUUAGAUAUGACGAAGAACUCCGAUUGCGAAGGCAGCCUACUGUAGCGCCACUGACGCUGAUGCUCGAAAGCGUGGGUAUCGAACAGGAUUAGAUACCCUGGUA